GAUGAACGCUGGCGGCGUGCCUAAUACAUGCAAGUCGAGCGAACGGACGGGAAGCUUGCUUCUCUGAUGUUAGCGGCGGACGGGUGAGUAACACGUGGAUAACCUACCUAUAAGACUGGGAUAACUUCGGGAAACCGGAGCUAAUACCGGAUGAUAUUUUGAACCGCAUGGUUCAAAAGUGAAAGACGGUCUUGCUGUCACUUAUAGAUGGAUCCGCGCUGCAUUAGCUAGUUGGUAAGGUAACGGCUUACCAAGGCAACGAUGCAUAGCCGACCUGAGAGGGUGAUCGGCCACACUGGAACUGAGACACGGUCCAGACUCCUACGGGAGGCAGCAGUAGGGAAUCUUCCGCAAUGGGCGAAAGCCUGACGGAGCAACGCCGCGUGAGUGAUGAAGGUCUUCGGAUCGUAAAACUCUGUUAUUAGGGAAGAACAUAUGUGUAAGUAACUGUGCACAUCUUGACGGUACCUAAUCAGAAAGCCACGGCUAACUACGUG
rnacentral:rRNA from 1 species